rnacentral:rRNA from 1 species
GACGAACGCUGGCGGCGUGCUUAACACAUGCAAGUCGAACGGAAAGGCCCUGCUUUUGUGGGGUGCUCGAGUGGCGAACGGGUGAGUAACACGUGAGUAACCUGCCCUUGACUUUGGGAUAACUUCAGGAAACUGGGGCUAAUACCGGAUAGGAGCUCCUGCUGCAUGGUGGGGGUUGGAAAGUUUCGGCGGUUGGGGCUGGACUCGCGGCUUAUCAGCUUGUUGGUGGGGUAGUGGCUUACCAAGGCUUUGACGGGUAGCCGGCCUGAGAGGGUGAACGGCCACAUUGGGACUGAGAUACGGCGCAGACUCCUACGGGAGGCAGCAGUGGGGAAUAUUGCACAAUGGGCGGAAGCCUGAUGCAGCAACGCCGCGUGCGGGAUGACGGCCUUCGGGUUGUAAACCGCUUUCGCCUGUGACGAAGCGUGAGUGACGGUAAUGGGUAAAGAAGCACCGGCUAACUACGUG